rnacentral:sRNA from 1 species
AAGAUUCGAAGCUGCCGCAGGUUCGAGUUGAGCGCAGCGAAACAACGGAGCCGCUCGCGGCGACGGCCCGAAGGGCGAGCGAAGCGAGUCAUCCU